rnacentral:rRNA from 1 species
AGAGUUUGAUUCUGGCUCAGAUUGAACGCUGGCGGCAUGCCUUACACAUGCAAGUCGAACGGCAGCGCGGGAGCAAUCCUGGCGGCGAGUGGCGAACGGGUGAGUAAUAUAUCGGAACGUACCCUGGAGUGGGGGAUAACGUAGCGAAAGUUACGCUAAUACCGCAUACGAUCUAAGGAUGAAAGUGGGGGACCGCAAGGCCUCAUGCUCAUGGAGCGGCCGAUAUCUGAUUAGCUAGUUGGUGGGGUAAAAGCUCACCAAGGCGACGAUCAGUAGCUGGUCUGAGAGGACGACCAGCCACACUGGGACUGAGACACGGCCCAGACUCCUACGGGAGGCAGCAGUGGGGAAUUUUGGACAAUGGGGGCAACCCUGAUCCAGCAAUGCCGCGUGUGUGAAGAAGGCCUUCGGGUUGUAAAGCACUUUUGGCAGGAAAGAAAAGGUACUGGCUAAUAUCCAGUACUGAUGACGGUACCUGCAGAAUAAGCACCGGCUAACUACGUGCCAGCAGCCGCGGUAAUACGUAGGGUGCAAGCGUUAAUCGGAAUUACUGGGCGUAAAGCGUGCGCAGGCGGUUGUGUAAGUUUGACGU